UACGUAGGGGGCAAGCGUUGUCCGGAUUUAUUGGGCGUAAAGAGCGUGUAGGCGGCCAUGCAGGUCCGUUGUGAAAACUCGAGGCUCAACCUCGAGACGUCGGUGGAAACCGCAUGGCUAGAGUCCGGAAGAGGAGAGUGGAAUUCCUGGUGUAGCGGUGAAAUGCGCAGAUAUCAGGAAGAACACCCGUGGCGAAGGCGGCUCUCUGGGACGGUACUGACGCUGAGACGCGAAAGCGUGGGGAGCGAACAGG
rnacentral:rRNA from 1 species